rnacentral:rRNA from 1 species
AGCGAACGCUGGCGGCAGGCUUAACACAUGCAAGUCGAGCGGGCGUAGCAAUACGUCAGCGGCAGACGGGUGAGUAACGCGUGGGAACGUACCUUUUGGUUCGGAACAACACAGGGAAACUUGUGCUAAUACCGGAUAAGCCCUUACGGGGAAAGAUUUAUCGCCGAAAGAUCGGCCCGCGUCUGAUUAGCUAGUUGGUGAGGUAACGGCUCACCAAGGCGACGAUCAGUAGCUGGUCUGAGAGGAUGAUCAGCCACAUUGGGACUGAGACACGGCCCAAACUCCUACGGGAGGCAGCAGUGGGGAAUAUUGAACAAUGGGGGCAACCCUGAUCCAGCCAUGCCGCGUGAGUGAUGAAGGCCCUAGGGUUGUAAAGCUCUUUUGUGCGGGAAGAUAAUGACGGUACCGCAAGAAUAAGCCCCGGCUAACUUCGUG